CAGACAUGGGGGAAAGUGGACCCUGUUAUCACUCCCCUGUAUGGAUGGGUAAACAGGCUGAGAUCACACACUGAGAGGUUAAAGCCGAGCCAUCAUUAGAAGCAGCACCAAGCCCGAGGUUCCUGCUUCAGCUCGGGAAAUAGAGAUUAGCAUAUAAAUAGCCUUCGGUGCCUGCUUGAUUCCAGCUAUUUUGCGUUUCAAUGUGGCAUCAGAAUGCACUUAGCAAGAAAUGUUCGAGAGGAGAAAGAGGCUGCAGGCAGAAGAACAAGCAGCAUGAUGGUGUUGGGCUUGGAAAUGAUGCCACAAAAUGUGCUGAUUUGGGUUCCACCUGAGAACUCCCGGGACCCGCACAGGAGGAAGGGGCUUUCUCUGGAGCUGCCCUAGCUACCAUGCAGGCCCAUGGUCCAGAAGACACAGACUGCUGGAGUCGCCUCCCUGGACAGCUCAUCAUAGGGGUCCUGCUGCACCCUGCGGGAAGGAAGA